rnacentral:rRNA from 2 species
AAGUGCGAUCAUACUAGCACUAAUGAACCAGAUCUCAUUAGAACUCCACAGUUAAGCAUGGUUGGACGAGAGUAGUACGAGGAUAUGUGACAUCCUGGGAAGUCCUCGUGUUGCACCUC